rnacentral:rRNA from 1 species
GUAGUCUCGCACAGAUGCAUAUCAAUAAGCGGAGGAAAAGAAACUAACAAGGAUUCCCCUAGUAACGGCGAGUGAAGCGGGAAGAGCUCAAAUUUGAAAUCUUAAAGGGUUUCCCUUUACGAAUUGUAGUUUAAAGAAGUGUUUUCUGUUGAGGUUUUGGUAAAAGUUCUUUGGAAUAGGACAUCAUAGAGGGUGAGAAUCCCGUAUUUGACCUUUACUUUCAACUUUGUGAUACACUUUCAAAGAGUCGGAUUGUUUGGGAAUGCAGUCCAAAAUGGGUGGUAAAUUUCAUCUAAAGCUAAAUAUUGGCGAGAGACCGAUAGCGAACAAGUACCGUGAGGGAAAGAUGAAAAGAACUUUGAAAAGAGAGUUAAACAGUACGUGAAAUUGUCAAAAGGGAAGCGUUUGACACCAGUGUUGUUUUUCUGAAAAUCAAUUAAAGAACUGUUUAUGCUAAGUUGUUUAGACUUUAUCAGCUAACUGUUUAGUUUUGAGCUUUUCUUUAAUGCACUUUUCAGUUAACAAGUCAACAUCAAUUUCUUUUGCUGUAAAAAAGCUUGAGGAAGGUGGCUUGAGAUUCGUCUUAAGUGUUUAUAGCCUCUUGCCUAUGCAGUCGGAGAGAUUGAGGUCUGCAGCGUAGAUCCUUCGGGGCUAAAUGCAUUUGUGCUAAGUUAUAGCAUUUUAUAGACAACUUGUUGACUAUGAUUUGUCUUGUAGCUUACUCGCUUAUGUUAUUUUACCUACGCUUAGGAUGUUGAAGACUCUACAGAGAUA